rnacentral:misc_RNA from 1 species
UCCACCUGUUCAAAGCUGAGCCCUUUCGUCUCCGGCACAAACAAGAACACAAACACAAACGCGACCACAGCCACCCCAGCAAUGAUCAAGAAGGUCCCCGCAGUCCCUACAACCGAUACGAUCGAAAGAAACGUCUGAGCCACGAUCAAGUUCGAUAUCCAGUUCACAGUAGCCGACAUGCCUCCACAAGUCCCUCUAUAUGCCUCUGGGUAGAUUUCCGAAUUCACCGCCCAUGGCACGGGACCCAUGCCUGGGGAGAAAAAGGCUAUGUAUAAUCCCAGGCCUACCACCGCAAGCCAUCCAAGGUUCUGUAAAAAGAAUGCUGCAGAGAGUAUCAAUAGGGCAACAAUGACACCAAAGAGGCUGCUAAGUGCCAAAAGGCG